GCUUCCUCAACAACAAAACGGCUGAUUCAACCACCUCGGUAGCUUGCUUGCUAACAUAAAACCGAAACAUUGAAGCUCUGUAGAUCAUUGGGUUUGUAUUAACUUCAGUGUUUUUAACAUACUGUCUGCGUCUUUACUAGAUACUCCAUUUAAUAUUUACGUUGUUAGUCAGCUAGCUGACUGGUUAAAUUAGCCGAGCACUAGGCUAGUCGCUAAAGCUAACUAGCUAGUUAACAUCCCCGACCAUGAGUUCAUUAAGCUACUCCCCUCCUGCUAAAGAAGAGGAGGUCUGUUGGACGGAGAAAGAAGUUAUUGUGAAAGAGGAGAAGGAAGAGGAGGCUGUUACAGUUAAAAAGGAAGUAGAGGGUGAAGCUGUUACAGUGAAAGAAGAAGAAGAAGCUUUCGGAGUGAAAGAGGAGGAAGAUAAACAAGAGAAUGUCGUUUUUGUUGAGGAGGAGAAUAUGACUGUAUUAGUAAAAGAAACGGAACAUGUUUUUGGAGUGAAGGAGGAGGGGGAGAUUACUGUCACAUUGGAGGAGGAGGAGGAAGAAGAAGAAGAGAAUAAUGGAGAUCUGAUUAACACCAGAGAGAGACAAGACUCGGAGGAACCAGAGCCAGAGACGUCCAAACCAGCAAGACGACACCAGUGCUCCCAGUGUGAAAAGAGUUUUACCAAGUUAGGGAGCUUGAAAAUACAUAAUAGAAUACACACAGGAGAGAAGCCCUACCAAUGCUCCCAGUGUGGAAAGCAGUUUACCCAGUUAGGGACCCUAAAAUUGCAUAAUAGAAUACACACAGGAGAGAAGCCUUACCAAUGCUCCCAGUGUGGAAAGAGAUGUUCACAGUUAAGUUCCCUGAAAUCACACGAGAAAAUACACACAGGAGACAAGCCUCACAAAUGCUCUCAAUGUGGCAAUACUUUUAAGCGGUUAAGUAACCUGAAAGAUCAUGAAAGAGUACACACUGGAAAAAAGCCUUACCAAUGUUUCCAUUGUGAAGAGAGUUUUGGCUGGUCAAGGCAACUGAAAGUGCAUGAGAGAACACACACUGGAGAGAAGCCUUAUCACCACUGCUCCCAGUGUGGAAAGAGUUUUACCCAGUUAUGGAACCUGAAAGCACACGAGAGAAUGCACACAGGAGACAAGCCUCACAAAUGCACUCAAUGUGGAAAAUCUUUUAACCGGUUAUAUAACCUGAAAGUACAUAAGAGAAUACACACAGGGGAAAAGCCUUAUCACUGCUCCCACUGUGGUAAGAGUUUUAUCCUAUCAAGGGCCCUGGCAACGCAUAAGAGGACACACACAGGAGAAAAGCCUUACCAUUGCUCCCAGUGUGGAAAGAAUUUCACUGACUCAAGUAACUGGAAAAAACAUGAGCUAACACACUCUGUAAAGAAGCGUUUCCAGGGUUCUCGUUGUGAAAGGAGGUUUAAGAAGUUAGGGAAACCGAAGCAGCAUGAGAAAAUACACACUAGGGAGAAGCCUUUUUGAGCUGCUCCCACUGUGGAAUGACAUGUACCUGGUUAAGGCAACUGAAAUGACAUGAAAGAGAAACCUUACCAAUGCUGCUCCCACUGUGUGAGAUUUCACACAAACUUACAGUUCAUGAGUUAACACACUGCUCCCACAUUUGUCUAAUUUUGGACUGAAAGUUGGUGCUUUUGUUUAUGUCCUUAUUGCCAAAUGAAAUCAGAUUGGAGAAAGCCUACUCAGAAAUACAUUUUAAUGUUUUUUUAAUUUCCUGUUUUAGGGGGUAGGGUUGGAUACAGGAUAUGAACCUGGUUUAGGGGUUGGAUACAGGAUUUGAACCUGGUUUAGGAAUGGAUAAAUAGGCCCGAAGUUAAGAAAUGGGAACUUACUGAGGAGGAUAGGCUACUCCAGAGAAAGGCGGGAAGGGUACGAAAGGAAGAGGUGUACCGAAAGAAAGUCAGUAAGCGAGAGGGUGCAGGAGUAGCAGUAACCAAAUUAAAAAGCUUCACCCAUAGACACAGGCAAGAAACACAGCAGGACAGAAAGACAAAGGAUCAGAGGCCCAGGACAGCCACCUUUGGGGGAGGUAACCUCUCCAAGCUAAUAGACGGAGAGAUGGCAGAAAGAGUUAGGAAAGAACUACUGUUGGAUGCCGGCGCAAGGAGGACAGGGCCCACGGGGAGGAAAGAGUGGUGCCCCAUAUGGGCACUACAAGCAGUAGAAAAAGCAGAAGUGAGAGAUAAGGAAAGACCAGGCAGACAGAGUGAAAGGGGAGUAGGGAACCCGCCUAACUGGGAGAAGAUGGAUCAACUCUCCAGGGAAGUGAUGAGAUGCGAGGAAGCAGCAGGAGAUCUAAGGAGGGAGUUAAAAUAUGUAGGGGAUCAGUGGGUUAAGAUAUUAGGACCCAGCAGAAAGGACAAGAAGAGGGGAAGGAAGGGCUAUAAGAGAUAGAAAUUGCUAACCCCAUUGUCCCCUGUAUCUAACCCCAUUGUCCCCUGUAUCUAACUCCAUUGUCCCCUGAUUCUAACCCCAUUGUCCCCUGAUUCUAGGAAAGAGAUGAGAGAAGAAUCAGAGGGAGACCAAAGUAGUGACCUUCAGAUAAUUAUAGGAGAGUGGAGCAUGGAGUACAUGGGAGUACAUGGGGGUACAUGGAGUACAUGGGGGAAUAUGUGAAACAUUGGCAUAUAUUCGAUAAACCGGACCUUCACAAUUGUUGUGAAGGACACAUGUUAAGCUGGACAACAACAGACAACCUAGAUAUAUGUGGGGGUUGUGCAAAGAAGCUUAGAGGAGGAUUGCAAGGGAGACUUUCAUGGAGAGGGAGAGACUUAGAAAGUACGUGCCUAGAUUGCCUGACAGAAGGUAGAGACUGGCCUGGAGAGGGAGAGACCUAGAUUGCUUGACAGAACGUAGAGACUGGCCUGGAGAGGGAGAGACCUAGAUAGCCUGACAGAAGGUAGAGACUGGCAUGGAGAGGGAGAGACUUAGAUUGCCUGACAGAAGGUAGAGACUGGCCUGGAGAGGGAGAGACCUAGAUUGCCUGACAGAAGGUAGAGACUGGCAUGGAGAGGGAGAGACCUAGAUUGCCUGACAGAAGGUAGAGACUGGCAUGGAGAGGGAGAGACCUAGAUUGCCUGACAGAAGGUAGAGACUGGCAUGGAGAGGGAGAGACCUAGAUUGCCUGACAGAAGGUAGAGACUGGCAUGGAGAGGGAGAGACCUAGAUUGCCUGACAGAAGGUAGAGACUGGCAUGGAGAGGGAGAGACCUAGAUUGCCUGACAGAAGGUAGAGACUGGCAUGGAGAGGGAGAGACCUAGAUUGCCUGACAGAAGGUAGAGACUGGCCUGGAGAGGGAGAGACCUAGAUUGCCUGACAGAAGGUAGAGGCCUAAAAUGAGGUUGGUAGUAAAGAGAGGGAACACAUGGGAAGUGACAACUGAUGGGGAAGAAGCCAGACUAAGAAUAAUGUACUUAGGACAAGAGAUAGAGUGGGAUAAAGACUCAGGUAGGAUAAGGAUGACAGGACUAAAUAAUGAAAUAUAUUACACAGGAUGGACCCAAAAGAACGGAUUCAUGGAGCCCUCGGUGCACCGGGUGUGACAGGGGCACCUAUGGAGAGUUGACUAGGCAGUCGGCCUCAGGGACUAAAAUAACAAGUCCCUUUUGUAAGGAUUGCUUCUGCAACAUGACCUGUCAUAGAGAUAAGGGCAUAUGGUAUCGGGAGGAAGAAGAAGCUUGGCCCUUUGAAAGCACAUUUACGCAGCUUAUGCUAGGAGGUAGAACAGUAGCUAAAGGGCUUACCAGAGACUGGAGGUUUGUAAAGAGCAGGCACCUAAUAGAUAGGGAGGAGAAACAGACAGGACCAGUAUGGGAUGGUACAGGCACAGGAUGGGAAGGCUCUAGCAAUAAAAUAUUGAGGCAACGAGGAAAAGCAGGAAAAGAGUCAAGGGAAGAUCUUGGAGAGGGAGGGGGGGACAAAAGGCAAAAAAGAACAGACCCCUCCCUCAGUGGCCGGUCCAGUUCCAGGGCCACAUUCAUGGGCUCUAAGGCCAUCUGUUGACUGGGGGAUAAAAGAAGAAAUCGCCACAACAGCAGGUGACCAGCAGAGGGAGCCAAAUGCAUGGGAAAUACAAGUACUGGGAAUUAAACAAGAACCAACCUACAGGGAGACUGAGGAGGAGUGGUAUGAACCGACCUACAGGGAGACUGAGGAGGAGUGGUAUGAACCGACCUACAGGGAGACUGAGGAGGAGUGGUAUGAACCGACCUACAGGGAGACUGAGGAGGAGUGGUAUGAACCGACCUACAGGGAGACUGAGGAGGAGUGGUAUGAACCGACCUACAGGGAGACUGAGGAGGAGUGGUAUGAACCGACCUACAGGGAGACUGAGGAGGAGUGCUAUGAACCAACCUACAGGGAGACUGAGGAGGAGUGGUAUGAACCAACCUACAGGGAGACUGAGGAGGAGUGGUAUGAACCGACCUACAGGGAGACUGAGGAGGAGUGGUAUGAACCAACCUACAGGGAGACUGAGGAGGAGUGGUAUGAACCAACCUACAGGGAGACUGAGGAGGAGUGGUAUGAACCGACCUACAGGGAGACUGAGGAGGAGUGGUAUGAACCGACCUACAGGGAGACUGAGGAGGAGUGGUAUGAACCGACCUACAGGGAGACUGAGGAGGAGUGGUAUGAACCGACCUACAGGGAGACUGAGGAGGAGUGCUAUGAACCAACCUACAGGGAGACUGAGGAGGAGUGGUAUGAACCAACCUACAGGGAGACUGAGGAGGAGUGGUAUGAACCGACCUACAGGGAGACUGAGGAGGAGUGGUAUGAACCGACCUACAGGGAGACUGAGGAGGAGUGGUAUGAACUGACCUACAGGGAGACUGAGGAGGAGUGGUAUGAACCGACCUACCAAGACAACACCCCAACGGAUGAAUACCUAUGGGCACCAGUGCUGAAGGAACUAACAUUGGACUAAGUGCUACUUAAUACGUAAUGUAAUGGCACACUGUGUUAAGAUAGAUUCUACUCCCGAACAUCUUCCCCCAAACUGAGUGUCUAAAAGAGGUAUAAAAGGAGGAUAGAUCAGUGCCAAGGCAUGAUCCUCAACCUAUAUGAUUUGGACAUCAUAGAGAAUCAUCAGACCAGGUAAAUUACUUGUACUAUACUCUGUUUGUAUUGACUACUUUGACAUCAAGGCGCGAGCAAAACUAUUGACUGGUAUAUCUUAAAGAAUUGUGUUGUACAUUGGAAGCUCACUCCUUAUAAAAAGAAUAAGUGAACAAGUUUGUGUACGAGAGGACUUCACCCCUCAACAGCGCGAGGAGAAAUCUUGAUAGCAACAACAUUCCAUCUUUGGUGUGUCAGUAACAAUCGCAGUUCGGCAAGAUUGGAAAAGCCCAGAAAUAGUUAAAGCCUCGUAGUAGCCAAGAGUCAAUAAAAAGGAAUCAAUAUCUAAACAGUAGGCAGUAAAAACCAUUCGGACUAAAUAAGAAGAUUAUAGUCGUAUAAACAGCAGAGGCUGCACAAAUAUUACUACUCUUAUAAAGACCAGUUUCGGGAAGGACCAAGGGAACAGAGCUUCAAGGUAAAUAUAUGGGUGUUUGCUUUGUUUAAAGAGUCAUAAAGAAGUGUGUUAAGCUUUUUACCUUUUUAAAUAUGACUUGGCACAGUAUAGCGCAUUAAGGAUUGAUUGAGCAUUAUUGAUGUAUUAGGAAACUGUAGAACCAUUGAAUUGUAAUAGCGUGUAUAAAGACAAAAAACAGAGUGACUUAAUAAAAGCUUGAAACUUUGACAACUAGGCCAGAUUAACGAUCUGGAGAGCAAACGCCUUUGACACUCUCACUGAACAGAAAGUGACCCUGGUUAUAGGUUAAAGUGAUUGCACUAAAGAAUA